rnacentral:rRNA from 1 species
AGUGAACGCUGGCGGUAGGCCUAGCACAUGCAAGUCGAACGGCAGCACAGUAAGAGCUUGCUCUUACGGGUGGCGAGUGGCGGACGGGUGAGGAAUACAUCGGAAUCUACUUUUUCGUGGGGGAUAACGUAGGGAAACUUACGCUAAUACCGCAUACGACCUACGGGCGAAAGCAGGGGAUCUUCGGACCUUGCGCGAUUGAAUGAGCCGAUGUCGGAUUUGAUAGUUGGCGGGGUAAAGGCCCACCAAGUCGACGAUCGGUAGCUGGUCUGAGAGGAGGAUAGGCCACACUGGAGCGGGGACAGGGUCCAGAGUCCUACGGGAGGCAGCAGUGGGGAAUAUUGGACAAUGGGGGCAAGCCUGAUCCAGCCAUACCACGUGGGUGAAGAAGGCCUUCGGGUUGUAAAGCCCUUUUGUUGGGAAAGAAAAGCAGCAGGUUAAUACCCCGCUGUUCUGACGGUACCCAAAGAAUAAGCACCGGCUAACUUCGUG